rnacentral:rRNA from 1 species
UACGUAGGGUGCGAGCGUUGUCCGGAAUUAUUGGGCGUAAAGGGCUCGUAGGCGGUCUGUCGCGUCGGGAGUGAAAACUCAGGGCUUAACCCUGAGCCUGCUUCCGAUACGGGCAGACUAGAGGUAUGCAGGGGAGAACGGAAUUCCUGGUGUAGCGGUGGAAUGCGCAGAUAUCAGGAGGAACACCGGUGGCGAAGGCGGCGAGCUGGACCACUACUGACGCUGAAGAACGAAAGCUAGGGGAGCAAACAGG